rnacentral:misc_RNA from 1 species
AACGAGGCCGACCUGCGGCUGAGUUACCUGCGGAGGGAUCAUUAUGAAUUUGAACUUGCGUGUGCAGCUUGUUUCAUUUAUUUGAACGCUCACCGCAAUUCUUUUUCUGUGAACUGUUCUCGAGUCUUCAUUUUAUUUUAAAUGAAGGCUUGGGUCAAUUUUUUUUGUUUUCUUGAUUUUUUAUUCCAUAUUUUUUGAGUAAUUCUUGCAAAAGAAUGAAAAAAAUAAUAAACCAAGACA